CUUGUAGCCAUAUAAUAAUUCUAAACUAACAGUCCCCAAAAGAAAAAUGGUCAAUGGCCCACAUUUGGUUAGAGGAGGAGAAUAAAUUUAGGCUAGGAUUACCUCAAAAAAUAAAAAUCUUUUUGUCAACAUCAAAUAUUGCAUUGCUCAAAGUAAUGAUUCACCUGGAUUAGAAUUGCUUAAAGUUACACAUGCACAUGUUCCUUUUGUGAGACUAUUUUGUUGGUCUGCUCUUUCCAAAUGAGCAUUAGGGAAAAGAAAGACUAUUUUGUUGGUUUGCUCUUUCCAAAUUAGCAUAAGGGAAAAGGAAAGGUAUCUUCUUCUUCUUCUUUUUUUGGGUGGACGCAAGGUCCCCAGAUUUACGGAUGGGGUUUAGAAUCAAUGUUCAGCAUAUUCAGUGAACCACUACCGCUUGAAUUUGUAUUAACAGCCCAAUUUCUGUUCUUGCACCACUAUUACAAUUCAUCUUGACUCAUUGGUAUCUCAAAUAUUUAAAUUGACUUUUUUUAAUAAAUAGUUUCUACCCAUGUUAUGUGGGUCCUUCAAAGGUGGAAUAUCUGAGUUGGAUACUCAAACAGCAGGAUAAGGUAUGGAUAAGAGACCUGCCUUCACAAGACUUGAAAUCCAGAUCCAUUCUGUUUUUAAACUGUUGAGCUAUCAGUUAUUUAGAAUUUUAAAUGAAUAUUACCAAUUGGGUUGCAAGUCCAGCUUGCUUGAUAUUGUUGGGGCAUCAUUUGAACCUGGCUAUCUUUUUUGAACAGUAACACAAGAAAAUUUUAUUAGAACCACUGAAAAGAGGGAAAAAUGAGAAUAAGCAAUGUGGGAUGAAGAGAGAUCAUUGCAUUCACCCCUAAAGAUGGCAUUAAGGAAGAAAAAGACCCAACAACCCAAUAAUUCCUCCUUUUUACUUCUAAACUGUAGGCAAACCCAUUGCCCAAGACGGAUCCAACUGUUUAGCUUAUGAAAGAUCUCUUCCACAGAUUCCAAGCAAUUGCUGAAGUACCUGUUGUUUCUUCCUUUCUAGAUUGACCACAGCACUGCUAGAAAGGAGAGACUCCAUAUAAAUGUUUUCCUUUUGCCUUUCUUUCAUCUGUUCUAGGCAAGGUCGAAAGCAUCAAUCAAACAUGGUGCAAUCCAUAACAUGAUUAUCUUAUGCGUUCUGACCAAUCCCUUGCUGUAUCUGUCAUGAAAAUUUGGAUUUAGGGGAUCUGCCGUACCUGAUCCUUGCUGUAUCCAUACUCAGGUACUGUAUUUUUAUACAAUUUUCUCCAAGAAGAUAGUCAUACAUGUGAUUUAGCAGUGGUAAGAACUUUUCUUUGGCUUACUUCACCAAUUUGCUACUGAGCCAUUGAAUUGCCUAUGGAUGUGUUGGUAACUUUGAAAUCUUUUGCCAAAGAAGAAGAAAAAGAAGGAGACAAGUUUUAUUCUUUUGCCAGAGAAGAAGAAGGUGACAAGUUUUAUUCUUUUGCCAGAGAAGAAGGUGACAAGUUUUAUUAUUUAUAGGUUUUGACCCUUCCACUUUCAUGCCUGAUUAAAGUUCUCCUCUGGCCUUUGAUUUUACAAAUGCGGAUUGGCUUGUUACCCGAGGUUGUAUCGUGGUGAUCCAGUGCUAAAUCCUCUUACACCUUGGUAUAGACCUCCAUUGAAAAACAUUUUCUGUAUAUAUGGGAUAGAUAUGAAGACUGAGCCAGCAGGCCAGAGCUACCUGUUGAGGUUGCAGGGCCUGCUACACACAAUUCGAAUGGAGAAUGCUAGUGGAGGCAAUGAUGACGUUGGCCUGGAAGCAGCAGAAGAUGGACGGGUAGUGUUAUCUCAGGGUUCGCCAAGCACGACGGCACCGGUGAUGACGGGCGUAACCAUGACUUUGUAUUAUUUGUAGAACCUAGUGUUGUGUAACAGUUUGAUUGAGUUAAACUUUAAAUAGACUGUUGUUAAUUGUUUUGUUGGUAA